UAUAAGAUGUAGACAUCCGCUAAGAACGGUUUUUACGAAACUCGACCCCUAAGGGGGUAAAACGGGGGUUGCAAGUUUGUAUGAAAGUCCUAUGUUUUUGAAGUAAGAGACUUGAAAUUUAAAAUGUAUGCUCUAUAGAUGAUGAGAAGGUGUCCAAAUAAUGUAUCUUUAGAAAUCAACUCCCUUUUGGGGUUAAAACUGGGGAUGGUAGGUUGACUCACUCAUCACGGAAUCUCCGAAACUAUAAAACCUACAACCUUGAAAUUUGGCAGGAAGGCUCCUUAUAGGGCGUAGACAUCCGCUAAGAACAAAUUUUACGAAAUUCGACCCCUAAGGGGGUA
rnacentral:misc_RNA from 1 species